rnacentral:rRNA from 1 species
ACGGGAGGCAGCAGUGGGGAAUAUUGGGCAAUGGGCGAAAGCCUGACCCAGCAACGCCGCGUGAAGGAAGAAGGCCUUCGGGUUGUAAACUUCUUUUACCAGGGACGAAGGAUGUGACGGUACCUGGAGAAAAAGCAACGGCUAACUACGUGCCAGCAGCCGCGGUAAUACGUAGGUUGCAAGCGUUGUCCGGAUUUACUGGGUGUAAAGGGCGUGUAGGCGGAGAGGCAAGUCAGAUGUGAAAUCCCGGGGCUCAACCCCGGAACUGCAUUUGAAACUGUUAAACUAGAGUGUCGGAGGGGUAAGCGGAAUUCUUAGUGUAGCGGUGAAAUGCGUAGAUAUUAGGAGGAACACCAGUGGCGAAGGCGGCUUACUGGACGAUAACUGACGCUGAGGCUCGAAAGCGUGGGGAGCAAACAGGAUUAGAUACCCUGGUA